rnacentral:rRNA from 1 species
UGGGGAAUAUUGGACAAUGGGCGCAAGCCUGAUCCAGCAAUGCCGCGUGUGUGAAGAAGGCCUUCGGGUUGUAAAGCACUUUUAUCAGGAGCGAAACGCUGUCGGCUAAUACCCGGCGGAACUGACGGUACCUGAGGAAUAAGCACCGGCUAACUUCGUGCCAGCAGCCGCGGUAAUACGAAGGGUGCAAGCGUUAAUCGGAAUUACUGGGCGUAAAGCGUGCGUAGGCGGUUUCUUAAGUCUGCUGUGAAAUCCCCGGGCUCAACCUGGGAAUGGCAGUGGAUACUGGGAGGCUAGAGUGUGUCAGAGGGUGGUGGAAUUCCCGGUGUAGCGGUGAAAUGCGUAGAGAUCGGGAGGAACAUCAGUGGCGAAGGCGGCCACCUGGGACAACACUGACGCUGAGGCACGAAAGCGUGGGGAGCAAACAGGAUUAGAUACCCUGGUAGUCCACGCCCUAAACGAUGCGAACUGGAUGUUGGUCUCAACUCGGAGAUCAGUGUCGAAGCUAACGCGUUAAGUUCGCCG